AUAGAUGCAGCGGUCACACCGAUCUGAUGGCAGUGUGACCGCUCGCGACAUCUAUCGUGUACUACGUUGGGUCACACUGCUUACUCAGGGUUGUCAGUUGUUAGAGAGCCGAGCGACUGUGAAGACGUCCGUGUGUGCUCAUACAGUGCUCUCAGAAUUUAUAUUUUUGGCAGUUUUUUCCCCUACUGGCAGAGCAGCAAGCAAACAAAAGACAAAAAAAAAAAAAACAAAAAAAAAUGCAAUUCCACAUUGCCGCGCGCACACUGCAAGCAGCCACACAAGAACAACAACGAUGAAAUGCUUGUUUUGUUGUUAAUAUUACAUGAAAUUAAAUGUAUGAAUCUCGUCAUGAAACGAAAACGAAAACAAUAAACGUUCUCGGAAGCGACUCA